GCGCGAAAACUUUACAAUGCUGGCAACAGCGAUAAGGGAACCUCGAGUGCCAGGUUACAAAUCUGGCUGUCGAGAUGCCUAAAAAGCAUUUCAUAGCAAGGGCCGGGCAAGACCGGUGCCAGCCGCCGCGGUAACACCGGCGGCUCGAGUGGUAACCGUUAUUAUUGGGUCUAAAGGGUCUGUAGCCGGCCGGAUAAGUCUCUUGAGAAAUCUGGCAGCUUAACUGUCAAGCUUUCAGGAGAUACUGUCUGGCUCGAGGCCGGGAGAGGUGAGAGGUACUUCAGGGGUAGGGGUGAAAUCUUGUAAUCCUUGGAGGACCACCAGUGGCGAAGGCGUCUCACCAGAACGGACCUGACGGCAAGGGACGAAAGCUAGGGGCACGAACCG
rnacentral:rRNA from 1 species